AACGAACGCUGGCGGCAUGCCUAACACAUGCAAGUCGAACGAGACCUUCGGGUCUAGUGGCGCACGGGUGCGUAACGCGUGGGAAUCUGCCCUUGGGUUCGGAAUAACAGUUAGAAAUGACUGCUAAUACCGGAUAAUGUCUUCGGACCAAAGAUUUAUCGCCCAGGGAUGAGCCCCGCGUAGGAUUAGCUAGUUGGUGAGGUAAAGGCUCACCAAGGCGACGAUCCUUAGCUGGUCUGAGAGGAUGAUCAGCCACACUGGGACUGAGACACGGCCCAGACUCCUACGGGAGGCAGCAGUGGGGAAUAUUGGACAAUGGGCGAAAGCCUGAUCCAGCAAUGCCGCGUGAGUGAUGAAGGCCUUCGGUUGUAAAGCUCUUUUGUCCGGGUACGAUGAUGACGGUACCGGAAGAAUAAGCCCCGGCUAACUUCGUGCCAGCAGCCGCGGUAA
rnacentral:rRNA from 1 species